CAGGCUGAGUACAAAUCUGACCAGCAUAAACUGUCUUCAGGAGAGGAUUGUGAUUCCACCCAUAAUCUGCUGUGUGGCCACCUGCCCAAUGUGGGCAGGACAGAAGGACCUGGCAGCUGGUAUUUAAUGAGAUUCCGAAAGGACAUCACCAGAAGAAGUCAUCCAGGACAGCAGAGACAACACUGUAGGUGAAGCAGAACCCAGCAAGCUGCCAAUAUGUGUAACCCGGAUUGUGUUGUUAAAACAGUAAAAGAAGCCAUGCACAUGGUUAGGAGAGUACUGCAUGAAGUUGGAGGAUUGUUGCGCCCACUCCCAGAAAAGCCAGCUAAUGAAAAGAAUGAAUGAGGAGGCAGGGAGCACCUGCUAGUUGCUCCAACAAUGGACUAUCCCAUGGCCUUGUUUUCUUACACUGGUGAUGAAAUAGCUGUUGCCCUUUAUUCUCCCUUGAUUUUUUUCCAGUAGAACACAGAGCCUUUGACUAUAAAGUCCAUUUGGAUUUGAA